rnacentral:rRNA from 1 species
UACGAAGGGGGCUAGCGUUGCUCGGAAUCACUGGGCGUAAAGCGCACGUAGGCGGAUUGUUAAGUCAGGGGUGAAAUCCUGGAGCUCAACUCCAGAACUGCCUUUGAUACUUGCGAUCUCGAGUCCGGGAGAGGUGAGUGGAACUGCGAGUGUAGAGGUGAAAUUCGUAGAUAUUCGCAAGAACACCAGUGGCGAAGGCGGCUCACUGGCCCGGUACUGACGCUGAGGCACGAAAGCGUGGGGAGCAAACAGG